GAUGAACGCUGGCGGCGUGCUUAACACAUGCAAGUCGAACGGAAAGGCUCCUGCUUGCAGGGGUACUCGAGUGGCGAACGGGUGAGUAACACGUGGGUGAUCUGCCCUGUACUUCGGGAUAAGCUUGGGAAACUGGGUCUAAUACCGGAUAGGACAACUUUUUGGAUAUUGUUGUGGAAAGCUUUUGCGGUAUGGGAUGAGCUCGCGGCCUAUCAGCUUGUUGGUGGGGUAAUGGCCUACCAAGGCGUCGACGGGUAGCCGGCCUGAGAGGGUGUACGGCCACAUUGGGACUGAGAUACGGUCCAGACUCCUACGGGAGGCAGCAGUGGGGAAUAUUGCACAAUGGGCGCAAGCCUGAUGCAGCGACGCCGCGUGGGGGAUGAAGGCCUUCGGGUUGUAAACUCCUUUCGCUAGGGACGAAGCUUUUUUGUGACGGUACCUGGAGAAGAAGCACCGGCUAACUACGUG
rnacentral:rRNA from 1 species